AGUUCUCUGACCGAAAAAAAGAAAACCUGUGCGGGAAGGAUGAUUAUGUGAGCUCCAAUCGGAAUGCGUCCUAUGCUGCAGCGAGCGUGGCGACCUGAGCUGAGAGGUGAUGAAAGUGAAGGAAUCGGGGGCUUGAGCUGAGAAGAAUGGGUGGUUGAGUGGUACCUGCGUGAAUUGAGAAAAAAAGGGCGAGUUCGCGAGUGAGA
rnacentral:misc_RNA from 1 species